rnacentral:rRNA from 1 species
AUUGAACGCUGGCGGCAGGCCUAACACAUGCAAGUCGAGCGAGCGGCGGACGGGUGAGUAAUGUCUGGGAAACUGCCUGAUGGAGGGGGAUAACUACUGGAAACGGUAGCUAAUACCGCAUACUGAAGGAGGGGAUUGCGUCUGAUUAGCUAGUUGGAGGGGUAACGGCCCACCAAGCGACGAUCUCUAGCUGGUCUGAGAGGAUGACCAGCCACACCGGGACUGAGACACGGCCCGGACUCCUACGGGAGGCAGCAGUGGGGAAUAUUGCGCAAUGGGGGCAACCCUGACGCAGCCAUGCCGCGUGAAUGAAGAAGGCCUUCGGGUUGUAAAGUUCUUUCGGUGACGAGGCGUUAAUCACAGAAGAAGCACCGGCUAACUCCGUGCCAGCAGCCGCGGUAAUAC